rnacentral:rRNA from 1 species
CUCUCAGCAAUGCCUGCCCAGUGUGAUUAAAAAUCAUAAACGGCCGCCCUAGCGUGAGGGUGCUAAGGUAGCGAAAUUCCUUGCCUUUUAAUUGUAGGCCUGCAUGAAUGGCUUAACGAGGGCUUAACUGUCUCUGGUUUACAGGGUCUAAAUUGGAUUAAAGGUGAAGAUACCUUUAUAUAAAAGUCAGACAAGAAGACCCCGUGCAACUUUCAAAAUCGGUUUAUUGAGAAACUUUAAGAUUUUUAGGUGGGGCGCCUACUGAGUAAUACUAACCUCUGUGUAUGGAAAAAACUUUCAAGUAUAGACCCGGCAAUGCCGAUCAUAGGAGAAGUUACGCCGGGGAUAACAGGCUAAUUCACUAGUAGAGAACGUAUUGGCUAGUGGGAUUGGCACCUCGAUGUUGAAUCAGGGAUGAUACCUUUAAGGCGUAGAAGCUUUGAAAGUG